UACGGGGGGGGCAAGCGUUGUUCGGAAUUACUGGGCGUAAAGGGCUCGUAGGCGGCCAACUAAGUCAGACGUGAAAUCCCUCGGCUUAACCGGGGAACUGCGUCUGAUACUGGAUGGCUUGAGUUUGGGAGAGGGAUGCGGAAUUCCAGGUGUAGCGGUGAAAUGCGUAGAUAUCCGGAGGAACACCGGUGGCGAAGGCGGCUUCCUGGACCGAUUACUGACGCUGAGGCGCGAAAGCUAGGGGAGCAAACGGG
rnacentral:rRNA from 1 species